rnacentral:rRNA from 1 species
GACGAACGCUGGCGGCGUGCUUAACACAUGCAAGUCGAACGGACAGACAGAGAGCUUGCUCUCUUGAAGUUAGUGGCGAGCGGGUGAGUAACGCGUAUCAACCUGCCCUUCAGAGGGGGAUAACAACGGGAAACCGUUGCUAAUACCGCGUACGAUUCAUGAACGGCAUCGUUUAUGAAUGAAAGGUGGCCUCUAUGUAUAAGCUAUCGCUGAAGGAGGGGAUUGCGUCUGAUUAGCUAGUUGGAGGGGUAACGGCCCACCAAGGCAAUGAUCAGUAGCCGGUCUGAGAGGAGGAACGGCCACAUUGGGACUGAGAACCGGACCAAACUCCUACGGGAGGCAGCAGUGGGGAAUCUUCCGCAAUGGACGAAAGUCUGACGGAGCAACGCCGCGUGAGUGAUGAAGGUCUUCGGAUUGUAAAGCUCUGUUAAUCGGGACGAUAGAGUUCUGCGUGAAUAAUGCAGAAAAGUGACGGUACCGGAAUAGAAAGCCACGGCUAACUACGUGCCAGCAGCCGCAGUAA